rnacentral:rRNA from 1 species
UACGUAGGGUGCAAGCGUUGUCCGGAAUUAUUGGGCGUAAAGAGCUCGUAGGCGGUUCGUCGCGUCGGCUGUGAAAACCUGAGGCUCAACCUCAGGCCUGCAGUCGAUACGGGCGGACUUGAGUACUGCAGGGGAGACUGGAAUUCCUGGUGUAGCGGUGAAAUGCGCAGAUAUCAGGAGGAACACCGGUGGCGAAGGCGGGUCUCUGGGCCGAUACUGACGCUGAGGAGCGAAAGCGUGGGGGAGCGAACAGG